rnacentral:lncRNA from 1 species
AGCGCUGGGGUGUCGUCGUGGGUCUCGCGUAGUCCAGGGAGGGUUUCCUCCUUCUCUUCCGCCUUGUUCAAGUUUUCACCGCAAGGAUGGAGGCUUCUUUCCUCUUUUCCUCUUCUGCUUCGUCUCACAGGAAGAGAGACGUUGUUCUUUGUCUCGUUUUCUGGCUUUGGUUUCGGGUUUUUGCAAGGCAAAGGAGGAGGUUUCGCUUUUCUCGUUUCUGUCUGGGUUUGUGUUUCGUAGGAGGGAGGUUCCUUUCCUAUCCUCUUUUUCUGGUCGUUCUGGCAGGGAGGUUCGUUCCAGCGUCUAAGCAAUGCGAGGAGCUCGGUUCCUCGGCGUUCUCGUGGUGAUCGGGAUCACGGAAGCUCCCUCUUUUGAAGCAACCUGUGACGGUAGCAGAAUGGGCUGCAUUCUUGAUUCGCGUUUCUGAUUAGGGUUUUCUGAAAUUGGGAAUUUUGGAGGUUUUGGAAUCUAUUAUUGCAAAUUGGGGUUUCUGAUCUUGUUCUUCUAAUUUGGGAAUUCUCUUUUAAGAGCUUUGUUCUUGUUUUCAGAAAUUGUGUUUUGGAACCAAUCGAGAUGUUGGGGUUCUGGCUUUCAGAUUCUGUUUUGAGAAUGAGGUUCCUGUUUUGAGUUCAUGACCUUAGGGUUUGAGUGUAGGGUGUUCGAGUUAAAUAUCUGGGGUUUUGGCUCUUCGUGUGAUCGGAGGUUGAGUGCUUGGUUUCGAUCGGCAUUGGGUCUGACGAUGGUGGUUUCCACCUUCGAGGUGGCCAGAGAGUACAAGCACAGGUUCAGACUGAAUGGCAGUGGGCCGUGGGUCGGUGCGGAUUGAACCUGGUUGGGCCUGCGCAGACCCAUGGUUGGACUUUGUGAAACUCAGAUUUUUAGAAUCGUUGAGACAACCUUUAAAACAAAAAAAAAAAG